GUUUGAUCAUGGCUCAGAUUGAACGCUGGCGGUAUGCUUAACACAUGCAAGUCGAACGGUAGCAGGCCUUCGGGCGCUGACGAGUGGCGGACGGGUGAGUAACGCGUAGGAAUCUGCCUCAUAGUGGGGGACAACGUGGGGAAACUCACGCUAAUACCGCAUACGCCCUACGGGGGAAAGCGGGGGAUCUUCGGACCUCGCGCUAUGAGAUGAGCCUGCGUUAGAUUAGCUAGUUGGUAGGGUAAAGGCCUACCAAGGCGACGAUCUAUAGCUGGUCUGAGAGGACGAUCAGCCACACUGGGACUGAGACACGGCCCAGACUCCUACGGGAGGCAGCAGUGGGGAAUAUUGGACAAUGGGCGCAAGCCUGAUCCAGCAAUACCGCGUGUGUGAAGAAGGCCUUAGGGUUGUAAAGCACUUUCAAUUGGGAGGAAAACCUGUCGGUCAAUACCCGGCAGCUUGACAUUACCUUUAGAAGAAGCACCGGCUAACUCCGUGCCAGCAG
rnacentral:rRNA from 1 species